UACGGGGGGGGCAAGCGUUGUUCGGAAUUACUGGGCGUAAAGGGCGCGUAGGCGGCUUGGUCAGUCCCGUGUGAAAUCCCUCGGCUCAACUGAGGAACUGCACGGGAAACUGCCUGGCUUGAGUUCGGGAGAGGGAAGCGGAAUUCCGGGUGUAGCGGUGAAAUGCGUAGAUAUCCGGAGGAACACCGGUGGCGAAGGCGGCUUCCUGGACCGACACUGACGCUGAGGCGCGAAAGCCAGGGGAGCAAACGGG
rnacentral:rRNA from 1 species